rnacentral:rRNA from 1 species
GUAGUGCGAUCGGUGGAUGCCUUGGCACCAAGAGCCGAUGAAGGACGUUGUGACCUGCGAUAAGCCCUGGGGAGUUGGUGAGCGAGCUGUGAUCCGGGGGUGUCCGAAUGGGGAAACCUGGAAUGUCCGGAGUAGUGUCCGGUGGCCCUGCCCUGAAUGUAUAGGGGUGUGGGUGGUAACGCGGGGAAGUGAAACAUCUUAGUACCCGUAGGAAGAGAAAACAAGUGUG